GACGAACGCUGGCGGCGUGCUUAACACAUGCAAGUCGAACGAAGUGGCGAACGGGUGAGUAACGCGUAAUCAACCUGCCCUUCAGAGGGGGACAACAGUUGGAAACGACUGCUAAUACCGCAUACUGAAGGAGGGGAUUGCGUCUGAUUGGCUAGUUGGAGGGGUAACGGCCCACCAAGGCGAUGAUCAGUAGCCGGUCUGAGAGGAUGAGCUGCCACAGUGGGACGGAGACACGGCCCAGACGCAUACGGGUGGGAGCCAUGGGGAUUCGUGCGGAAUGGGCGAAAGUCUGACGGAGCAACGCCGCGUGAGUGAGGACGGCCUUCGGGUUGUAAAGCUCUGUUAAUCGGGACGCGGUACCGGAAUAGGAAGCCACGGCUAACUACGUGCCAGCCGCCGCGGUAAUUC
rnacentral:rRNA from 1 species